GUGCAGCAGUCGCGAAAACUCCGCAAUACGCGAAAGCGUGACGGGGCCACCCCGAGUGUCGUCCGCUGAGGAUGGCUUUUCCACGGUGUAGGGAGGUGGGGGAAUAAGGAGAGGGCAAGUCUGGUGUCAGCCGCCGCGGUAAUACCAGCUCUCCGAGUGGUAGGGAUGAUUAUUGGGCCUAAAGCGUCCGUAGCCGGCUCAGCAAGUCUCCCGUUAAAUCCAACGAUUCAAUCGUUGGAUUGCGGGAGAUACUGCUGAGCUAGGAGGCGGGAGAGGCCGACGGUAUUCCCGGAGUAGGGGUGAAAUCUUAUAAUUCCGGGAGGAUCACCAGUGGCGAAGGCUGUCGGCUAGAACGCGCUCGACAGUGAGGGACGAAAGCUGGGGGAGCGAACCGGAUUAGAUACCCGUGUAGUCC
rnacentral:rRNA from 1 species